ensembl:lncRNA
GUGUUAGCUAGGCUUCCUCCAAGGUAUUAAUAGUUACCACUAGCUGACUAUUCACUUGAGGAGACUGAGAUCAGAGAGAUUAGUGACUGCCAUGCUCAGAGGGAGGGCGCAGGGUCUCACUCACCAGAGACACUCUGCAUCAUUGUAGACAGUUGUGUUCCGGCUUGGCCACGCCCCUCCUACUGGGAACUAGGCAGAGGGUGCCUGAGCCUUGACUCUGUUGACCCCUCGUGUUUUCCCCUUGGCUCGUGAAGCAAAGGAUGGAGCUUUCAGAUAGGGCCCCCCUGCAUCAGAGCCAUACCCCCAGGCCCGUGAGCCUGUCUUAUGGGACUUCAAGAAGAUGUCACCAAGAAUAACGAAUCAGUCAGUAUCAUUCUUGAAUGGCCCACACUGCAUCCAAUUCAAACUACUCACCUGUUUCC